rnacentral:rRNA from 1 species
GACGAACGCUGGCGGCGUGCUUAACACAUGCAAGUCGAACGGAAAGGCCCUGCUUUUGUGGGGUGCUCGAGUGGCGAACGGGUGAGUAACACGUGAGUAACCUGCCCUUGACUUUGGGAUAACUUCAGGAAACUGGGGCUAAUACCGGAUAGGAGCUCCUGCUGCAUGGUGGGGGUUGGAAAGUUUCGGCGGUUGGGGAUGGACUCGCGGCUUAUCAGCUUGUUGGUGGGGUAGUGGCUUACCAAGGCUUUGACGGGUAGCCGGCCUGAGAGGGUGACCGGCCACAUUGGGACUGAGAUACGGCCCAGACUCCUACGGGAGGCAGCAGUGGGGAAUAGUGCACAAUGGGCGGAAGCCUGAUGCAGCAACGCCGCGUGCGGGAUGACGGCCUUCGGGGUGUAAACCGCUUUCGCCUGUGACGAAGCGUGAGUGACGGUAAUGGGUAAAGAAGCACCGGCUAACUACG